ACUGUAAAGGAGAAAUGCUUAAAGAGUUUAGUGCAUGUUUGUAGAGCAGCUGCUGAAGAAAUCUGGAACAAAGAGAUGUAAAGAAGAUGACAAUUAGCAUAUGGGGAGUCCACAAGACAUUUUGAUGUGAAAUGUGGGUCCUUCUUCUUGACAAGGGAUGCACACCUACCUGACCUCCAAACAGAGACAUCAACAUAGAAACCUCCGCAGAGAUAACCAGAUCUCCAUAUUGCAAGCCCAUGCAAAAAGUAACCUAGAGAAACAGACGCCUGGAUGAAGAGGGGUGUGAGUACAAGCUUUGCAGAUGGAGCUACUGCCUGGAAGGACUCAGUGUGCUUCAGUGGCUGAUGCCCACUCCUCAAAAAACAAAACCAAACCCAAAACAACAAGUGGUGUAGAGAGAAACAAGAAUUACCAAAAGGGAAAAUUA